AGCAACAGCGCAUGUGUGGAAGCCUCGGGUAUCAGAGGACCAUCCCUCGAUCUAGUCUGCUAUAUGUAUCUAUGGUCUGAACGCCUGCGAGCAUCUCUGGCUGCUGCUGACCUGGUUUUUGGAGUAAAACACGGUGGAAGCUGAAUUAGUGAGGAUGACUCCUGCUCCUGUCAUCUCUAAGCUCCUCCCACAUCUUUACCUGCACAUGAGGAAAAUCACUCCUGUAGAAUGCAGAUGUUCAGAGGGAGAUGAUGCCACAUCUGGUCCAGCUGAUGGAAGGUCUUGAAGUUCUCUGACUGGCCUCGACUGAAGAUGGUCGUCUCACUGGAUUUAAGGUUCAGAUGCUCAGUAACAAACUCCACCAAUGAGCCAACAGGGAAGCUUUAGGUUUAUUAAAUGUUGCUAUGAAGGUU